rnacentral:misc_RNA from 1 species
GUCAUAAUAUUAUUUCAAUCCUUCCCCAUCAGGGGUUUUUUUUACUUAUUUUGGAUCUUUUAAAUGCAUUUGUGUUACAGACUUCUGCCAUUCAGAAUGCUUAAUCAUUGUCGAAAUUAGCAAUGUAGCACCAGAAUAAGGCACAACCUUUGAUAUCUCUUUCAUAUUCUCUUGUUUUUUCUCUGAUAAGCAAAAAUAUAUGGAAAAUUUGACACAUAUCAUAGCGGAA